rnacentral:misc_RNA from 1 species
AAAAGCGCCUGGUGUUCACUACGCAUACACCUGAAGAAGCAGGGAAUGAAAAGCAUGAUAUCAACCUGUGUCAUAAGAUGAGCUAUUUCUGCGGACUGA